CACCCUUUUACCGGAACUUGGAGAAAUAAUCUAUGACUUCAAGAAACUAUACAGGGACACCUGCAAAACAAAUGUUUUAAACGAGGAUCUUGACAAGGCGAUUAGAAAAGCACAAGAGAAAAUAAAUAAUAUUGCUAACAAUCUGAUUGGCACAUCAGAUUCAUUUUUGGAAUUAGAAAAGAAAAUUGCAGAGCGGGAAGAGAAAAUCAAGAAAUUGGAGAAAGACAAACAGGAAAUAAAGGACAAGGCAAAGGACUUAAAAUGCAUACUUAGCCCAAGACUAGAGUAUCUUAUUUCUUUAAGAAAAGAAAUAUCUGAGGCUCUGGUUCCCAAACUGAAGACACUAGAAGAGCAAGUGCACAUACUCACCAGUAUAGUGCAAAGAACACAAGAGGCAAUAAAAGACUGCAAAACAUUCUGCAAUGGCAUAAAUUUAGUUUUGACAGAUAUCUUUCAUAUUGUAACCCACCUGUUACAAGAAUCCAAGUGGGACUCCACUGACAGCGAAUGACAACCUUUGUCAUUGAUGUCAAAGGGGGAGUAGUGGGAUGAGAAAAAUGGUCAGAUAAAGGACAUCAUCUGCUCAGGGGGAGCAUACAGUUUUGGAAAAACAUUUUGGCAGACUAUUUUUGGAUAUCAUUUUUUUUUGGACACUUUUUUAUUUUUCUCAUGAGUGUUGCCAUCAAUGCCAAAGGGGGAGAUUGUUAGCAAAUGCACACUCCAAUGAGAAAUUGUAGCUGAUUGAAGGUUUUUUCAUUGAUGGAAACCUUGCAAUCAUAUGAUAUCGGAAAGACAGAAUACCGGCAUCGGCAACGACAAACUCUACACCGACACACAGAACACUGAUAGUGAAAGGAAAGACAUCGGCAUCCUGGCCGACAAGAAUUUUGUUUAAAAUGUAUUUUGUAAUUAAUUGUAAAAUCACUGUAAACCGACAUGGUGAGUUGUAAUAUGACUCAUAUAUGUAUGAGAUCAUUGUAGAUCAUUUUUUAAUAAGGAGAUAGGCGAAAAUAAUGCAGACCUAAUAUGUGAAUUAUAGGUUAAGUGUUUAUGUAUGUAGUAGAGCUUAAACCGGUACUGGAUCUGGCAUAGCAGAUUCUAAUUUGAAGCAGUACAAGAGAUUGGAUUAAUAUAAUCCAUUUUUGUAAGUCAGUGUGAUUUCUUUUGUAAUUGAGCAGUGAGCUCUGGGCACUUGGCCUUCUUGCAUGUGCAGGACCCUAUUGUAAGGGUAAUAUUCCCUUAUUGGCCAGUAAGUGAAUAUUGUGGGUCACAAAUCUCACUGAGGUUUUUACCACACCGGGUUUCCUCGUUAAAAUACUGUGUUAUGGUGUUCUUCUCAUGUGGUUGUUGUUAUUGUUAUUUAUUGCAUUAUUUCUGGUUUACCAGUACAUAGUUUUAACAUGCUUUUCAUGUUUUAAAUCAAGUAAAUCUACACACUGGUUAGAUACUGAUUUACCCCCCCUCUCAGUAUCUUUGGGAAUCCUAACAGUUAAUACAAUAAACAUCUUAAUUUGUAAUUAGAGUAGUAAUUAAUGUAACCUUUUUUGUUAAUAUUUUAGAGCAUGUAGUCGGUGGUGACCAAGUGGAGCAUGAUCUGGGUACACAACAUCAGGAACGUGAUGUUCCCCAAUCAGGUGAUCUAGAGGGUGUUCAACAUGUUGAGGUUGAGGAUAGACAAAAUGAUGUGGCUCCAUCAGAGGACCCCCCUUUGCUUCAGUGUCCUCGUCCUCAGUAUAGGACUAGGCAUACAUCAAGAUCACGAGCAGAGGGAAGAACAACUAUGGAGGGGGGAAAUGAUGAAGAAACUGAUGUUCCACUUAGUUUUUUCAUAGCUUCAAAGAAAAACCAAAAAAACAAA